UGGGGAAUUUUGGACAAUGGGCGCAAGCCUGAUCCAGCAAUGCCGCGUGCAGGAUGAAGGCCUUCGGGUUGUAAACUGCUUUUGUACGGAACGAAAAGGCUCUGGCUAAUACCUGGGGCACAUGACGGUACCGUAAGAAUAAGCACCGGCUAACUACGUGCCAGCAGCCGCGGUAAUACGUAGGGUGCGAGCGUUAAUCGGAAUUACUGGGCGUAAAGCGUGCGCAGGCGGUUUUGUAAGACAGAGGUGAAAUCCCCGGGCUCAACCUGGGAACUGCCUUUGUGACUGCAAGGCUGGAGUGCGGCAGAGGGGGAUGGAAUUCCGCGUGUAGCAGUGAAAUGCGUAGAUAUGCGGAGGAACACCGAUGGCGAAGGCAAUCCCCCUGGGCCUGCACUGACGCUCACGCACGAAAGCGUGGGGAGCAAACAGGAUUAGAUACCCUGGUAGUCCACGCCCUAAACGAUGUCAACUGGUUGUUGGGUCUUAAUUGACUCAGUAACGAAGCUAACGCGUGAAGUUGACCGCCUGGGGAGUACGGCCGCAAGGUUGAAACUCAAAUGAAUUGAC
rnacentral:rRNA from 1 species